UUAAGCAGUGAAGAAGACUCCGUGGUUAAUACCCACGGACGAUGACAUUAGCUGCAGAAUAAGCACCGGCUAACUCUGUGCCAGCAGCCGCGGUAAUACAGAGGGUGCAAGCGUUAAUCGGAAUUACUGGGCGUAAAGCGAGCGUAGGUGGCUUGAUAAGUCAGAUGUGAAAUCCCCGGGCUUAACCUGGGAACUGCAUCUGAUACUGUUAGGCUAGAAUAGGUGAGAGGAAGGUAGAAUUCCAGGUGUAGCGGUGAAAUGCGUAGAGAUCUGGAGGAAUACCGAUGGCGAAGGCAGCCUUCUGGCAUCAUAUUGACACUGAGGUUCGAAAGCGUGGGUAGCAAACAGGAUUAGAUACCCUGGUAGUCCACGCCGUAAACGAUGUCUACUAGUCGUUGGGUCCCUUGAGGACUUAGUGACGCAGCUAACGCAAUAAGUAGACCGCCUGGGGAGUACGGCCGCAAGGUUAAAACUCAAAUGAAUUGACGGGGGCCCGCACAAGCGGUGGAGCAUGUGGUUUAAUUCGAUGCAACGCGAAGAACCUUACCUGGUCUUGACAUAUCUAGAAUCCUGCAGAGAUGCGGGAGUGCCUUCGGGAAUUAGAAUACAGGUGCUGCAUGGCUGUCGUCAGCUCGUGUCGUGAGAUGUUGGGUUAAGUCCCGCAACGAGCGCAACCCUUGUCCUUAGUUACCAGCGGGUUAAGCCGGGAACUCUAAGGAUACUGCCAGUGACAAACUGGAGGAAGGCGGGGACGACGUCAAGUCAUCAUGGCCCUUACGACCAGGGCUACACACGUGCUACAAUGGUAGGUACAGAGGGCAGCUACACAGCGAUGUGAUGCGAAUCUCAAAAAGCCUAUCGUAGUCCAGAUUGGAGUCUGCAACUCGACUCCAUGAAGUAGGAAUCGCUAGUAAUCGCGGAUCAGAAUGCCGCGGUGAAUACGUUCCCGGGCCUUGUACACACCGCCCGUCA
rnacentral:rRNA from 1 species